rnacentral:rRNA from 1 species
GACGAACGCUGGCGGCGUGCUUAACACAUGCAAGUCGAACGGAAAGGCCCUGCUUUUGUGGGGUGCUCGAGUGGCGAACGGGUGAGUAACACGUGAGUAACCUGCCCUUGACUUUGGGAUAACUUCAGGAAACUGGGGCUAAUACCGGAUAGGAGCUCCUGCGGCAUGGUGGGGGUGGGAAAGUUUCGGCGGUUGGGGAUGGACCCGCGGCUUAUCGGCUUGUUGGUGGGGUAGUGGCUUACCAAGGCUUUGACGGGUAGCCGGCCUGAGAGGGUGACCGGCCAGAGUGAGGAGGAGAGCCGGCGCGGACCGAUGAGGGCGGACGGGGAGGGGACGAGUAGAAGGCGGGCGGAGGGCGGGGGAGGCGGGCGCGGGGGCAGGAGCCGCGGUCUCGGGGUGUAACCCGCGGUCGCCGGAGACGAAGCGGGGGUGCCGGAAAGGGGAAAAGAAGCACCGGCUAACCCCGUGCCCGCAGCCGCGCUAAGAAGCGGAAGACCACACGCCUGACC